rnacentral:rRNA from 1 species
UACGUAGGGGGCAAGCGUUGUCCGGAUUUAUUGGGCGUAAAGAGCGUGUAGGCGGCCAGACAGGUCCGUUGUGAAAACUCGAGGCUCAACCUCGAGACGUCGACGGCAACCGUCUGGCUAGAGUCCGGAAGAGGAGUGUGGAAUUCCUGGUGUAGCGGUGAAAUGCGCAGAUAUCAGGAAGAACACCUAUGGCGAAGGCAGCACUCUGGGACGGUACUGACGCUGAGGUGCGAAAGCGUGGGGAGCAAACAGG